rfam:Schistosoma haematobium scaffold998_74, whole genome shotgun sequence.
AUCCAGCUGGCGAGUUUCAAAUAGGACGAAACGCGCGUCCUGGAU